AAUGUGACGUUGUUGUCCCUGGCUCUCUUUCUCUCUCUCUCCCUCCUGCUCUGUUCCUGUGCUGGUGUAACUACCACCCCUCCUCCCUGUGCCCAGCGCAAAGCACAAGGCUCGAGUGCGGAGUGAAGCGGAAAAAAAGUGAGAGAGAGAGAGGGUGAGAGAAAGAGUCGUUCACGUCAAAGAUUCGGCUCUAAGAGCCAUUUCGUUCGUUCGGACACAUCACUAUUCUGAAGCAGUGUGUUGAUCUUUUUGGCACACGCACCGGAGCGUCAGCUUCAAGCGGACCAUCACUACCUCUCACGUCUAAAGCUGAUCAGCAGGAGGAGAAGAGUCUGACGGAGCAGCAGAGGAACAUUUUCA